AGAGUUUGAUCAUGGCUCAGAACGAACGCUGGCGGCGUGCCUAACACAUGCAAGUCGAACGAGAAGUACGUAGCAAUACGUAUUGUAAAGUGGCGCACGGGUGAGUAACACGUGGGUAAUCUGCCCUUGAGUUUGGGAUAACCCCGCGAAAGCGGGGCUAAUACCGAAUAAGACCACGGGGACCAAAGUCCCUGAGGUAAAAGGUGGCCUCUAUUUAUAAGCUACCACUUGAGGAUGAGCCCGCGGCCCAUUAGCUAGUUGGCAGGGUAAUGGCCUACCAAGGCAAUGAUGGGUAGCUGGUCUGAGAGGACGAUCAGCCACACUGGAACUGAGACACGGUCCAGACUCCUACGGGAGGCAGCAGUGGGGAAUAUUGCGCAAUGGGCGAAAGCCUGACGCAGCAACGCCGCGUGGGGGAUGAAGGUUCUCGGAUUGUAAACCCCUUUCGACCGGAACGAAUCCCCUCCUGGUAAAUAAUCAGGAGGAUCGACGGUACCGGGAGAAGAAGCCACGGCUAACUCUGUGCCAGCAGCCGCGGUAAGACAGAGGUGGCGAGCGUUGUUCGGAUUUAUUGGGCGUAAAGCGAACGCAGGUGGUUUGGUAAGUCAGAGGUGAAAGUCCACAGCUUAACUGUGGCACUGCCUUUGAUACUGCCUUUCUUGAGUGCAUGAGGGGGAAGCGGAAUUCCGAGUGUAGAGGUGAAAUUCGUAGAUAUUCGGAGGAACACCGGUGGCGAAGGCGGCUUCCUGGCAUGUAACUGACACUCAUGUUCGAAAGCGUGGGGAGCAAACAGGAUUAGAUACCCUAGUAGUCC
rnacentral:rRNA from 1 species